AAAUAUCUUUAAAAUGGAGAAAGAAAAACUCAUCAAAUCUUCAGAAACCAUCGGAGGUGGAGGCUUAGAAUCUUCAUUAACACAACUUAUCCAUGAUCAUAACCUCACCACCAUCAAAACCCGUGAACAAGCAGAUAAGGCAAAGAAGGAAGCAUUGAAGGGUGCAAUUCGAGUUUCAGAUUUGUUAGUUGAAACUGUGAAUGGUGGAGUACAGGAAACAUAUGUAAAUCAGAAACGAAUUGAGAAUGAAAUUAGGGCAUUAACAGCUUCAACAAUAAGGUUUACCAAACAAACUGAUCAGUGGCUUUCGGAUUCUCAUUCUAUCAAUUCUUCUUUAAAGUGUUUGGAUGCGUAACACCUCGUAAAUUGAUUUGCAUUGAGACUCAUUACUGUGGUUUGUGAUGAAUAUUGCAAUCGUGGUAGUAUGUCAUGGGUGGAGGAGUCGAAAAUGCAAUUUUCUAGCCUGUUUUUGCACCAGUGCUACGCAAAACGAAGAGUGAGAUUAAGCGCGUAUGAGCACAUCCAACUUUUCCAGUCGAGAUUGGGGACUUUGAAAACUGGAUGAGGACCAUGGAUUACGACUGCAAAAUCAUAAAUGCAGCAAUCCGCAACAUAUACAAGCCAUAAAGUAAACAUCCUUCUGCAAAACUUGUAUACUCUUUCUUUUAACAGUUCAAAAAUGUCCGGUGAAUGAAUUUCAGAACAUACUUCUAUUUACAACCUGAUUAACAACAAAAAAAAAGAAGAGAAUGAACAAGACUAAAAUUUUGUGUCAUCUGACAGCAGAUGCAACAGUAUGGGCCCAAUUUCUAAGAUGAAAUUUCAUUUCAAUUUCACUGUUUAAUUUAGGAACUUGCCAAUUGAUUAAUAGCAGCUCUUCUUCCUUUCUUUUGUUAUCUAGCACAGCCCAAGCUUCAGACAAGUAAGGUCUUGCAGACUUGUUAUUAUUAUUAUUCUCACCUCUGCCUAAUUUGCCUUCUUCUUCUUGUGCUUUCCUAAUCUCUGUAAACCGGGAAUUAUUGAAACCAAACUUGAAUUCUUAUCUUCUUCAGAAAAUACAAAACCCAAAUCCAUGAACCCUUUUAAUUUUUCAAACUCAAGGUCUGAUAGACUUUUAUUGCUCUUCAUCUCGUUCAAUCUUUUACCCUUGAGCAUCAAUUUAUUUGAAGCUUCUCUAGUUUCAGCUGCUGCUGAUGAUGAAGUUUCUGUUCUUCGUCUUCUGAAGCUUCUUUUCCUGAAUUGAUUGUUUGUAAUUGCUGUGGUCUUAGAACUGAAUCAGGUGAUGAAAAAGAACAAGUAAAACUUGUCAAUUCUUCACUCACUGAUCGAAGAAGAGAUGAUUGGAUUCGUGUAAUCUCUGGUUUGAAUGAAAGUAAAGAUGGUGUGAUGAUUGAUAUAUCGUUGUAAAACCAAUUAGAAUCAAAGAGAUUCAAUAAUUGUUCCUGAUCCAUUUUUUUGUUGGGAAGUAAUGAUGAAACCCUGUAAUAUGUACAUGUAGUUGACCUAAAGAAACAACCUCAGAGAUUCUACUGGAUAUUGCUAGAAAUACCUACUCUGAAUAUUAUUAAGUAAGUAGAUAGAACACGUUUAAAUUAAGAAUUCCAUUCUAUUAGUUAACUUCCUCGUGAAACUUGUUGAGAAA